AUCCUACGGGGCGCAGCAGUGGGGGAUAUUGCACAAUGGGGGGAACCCUGAUGCAGCGACGCCGCGUGGGUGAAGAAGCGCCUCGGCGCGUAAAGCCCUGUCAGCAGGGAAGAAAAUGACGGUACCUGAAGAAGAAGCCCCGGCUAACUACGUGCCAGCAGCCGCGGUAAUACGUAGUGGGCAAGCGUUAUCCGGAUUUACUGGGGGUAAAGGGAGCGUAGACGGCAAUACAAGUCGGAAGUGAAAUACCUGGGCUCAACCUGGGAACUGCUUUGGAAACUGUAU
rnacentral:rRNA from 1 species